CAAAAUAAGGCUUUAUAGUAAGGCAUUUCAUUUACAUUGAAAGGGAUUCUGUGCAAAUCAGAUUAUUUUGA
rnacentral:tRNA from 1 species